GUUGGUCGCAUCUGCAUAUGAAAUUCCAAAUUAGCCCUCAACCAUGCCGGCCUCAGCAUCAUCGGCGCCGCCCCCUCCGACUCACAGCCGUCGUGAGGAUCUGAUCGGACGGUUGAGCUCUUCCUCCACCGAAGCAAAACUCAAAGCUCUCCGUGACCUUAAGAAUCAGAUCAUCGGUAACCGUACGAAAAAACUUUGUUUCCUCAAACUCGGCGCCGUUCCGUCUGUUACCUCAAUACUCUCUUCCUCCUCCGCCACCGCGGCCGCUUCUGCUGCUGUUUGUUCUGGUAAUGACGUGGAACUCAACGAUUCGCUAAUUAUUCAAUCCGCUGCUGCUAUUGGUAGCUUUGCUUGUGGCUUUGAUGAUGGUGUUAAAGCCGUCCUUGAUGCCGGUGCAUUUCCUCUUCUUCUUCGCCUUAUUUCUUAUCCUAAUGAUAAGGUAGUCGGAGCAGCUGCUCGAUCCCUUAAGUUCAUUUAUCAAUCGAAGUUAGCCCCAAGGUAUGAUUUUCUUCAGGGGAACAAUAUGGAAUUUAUCCAGUCGUUACUGAAUAGUGAAAAUGAGAAUGUGACUGGACUUGGUGCAAGUAUCAUUACACAUUCUUGCUGGACAAAUAUGGAGCAGAAGGCAUUAAGUGAUGCUGGAAUUAUUAAAAAGCUCACUUGUAUGCUUGGAGGGUCUUUAACUCAAAAAGAUGCUAGUUUGGAGUCUCUAGCCACUAUCCUAAAGGGAAAUCCUGAAGUCAUAUCAAAGUUCAUCGAACCUGAAAAUGGAGGAGCAUUGGGUACUGUUACUGAAUUGACCAAGGAUAAAAAUGCCCGGACAAGAUUGCUUGCUUGCAUAUGCUUGAUUGUCAUAAGGAACUCUGCUCCUUCUUGCCUUCAAGAUUUACGAAUCAAAACAAAAUUGAUACUAAUUCUACUUGAGCUUCUUGAUGAUGAUCAAGUUGGAGACGAAGCUCCUUUUGCCUUGUCUAGUUUAAUUGCAGAAAAGGAGGAUCUGCAAGUAUUAGCAUUCGAGGCAAAUGUUAUCGAUAAACUUGUCAACCACCUGCGGAAAGGCCCAUUAUUGUCGAGACGUUUGGAGGGAAUACUUAUUGCAUUGGCUAACAUGUGUUCAAGACUGGAACGCUGCAGGGAUCGGCUUUUGUCAUUAGAGGCUAUGAAGUUUGUAACUGAUGCCCUAAGUCAGGAUAGUGGUGAAGUGCGUGCUGCAGCAUGUGUUUGUUUGAAAAACGUUUCUCGCUCAGUGAAGAAUCUUAGUGCAGGUCUAUUUAUGAACGAGAGUUUUGUUGUUCCCUUGGUUCAGCUUUUAUUUGAUGAUUUGACCUUUGUCCAGGUUUCUGCCCUUGAUGCCAUCAGCAACAUAGUGGUUGAUUUCUUGGCACAUAAGACCAUGUUUAUGAAAUGUGGAGGUUUGAAGCAGCUUGUUCAGCUUUCGAAGUCAAUGGAUGCAACUAUUAGGGUAAAAGCUGUGUGUGCUUUAAGGAAUCUAACAUUCCUUGUGAGUGACAAGUGUAAAGAGGAAAUUCUAUCAGAACUCACACAGUUGACCUUAAGAAGCCUGAUUUGUGAUCCUGAGGCUUGUGUUCAAGAGCAAGCUUUAGCUUUGGUUUGUAAUCUGGUUGAUGGGCCUCUAGAUUCUAUCCAGCAUGUCUUUGCUGAGGACGCUCUUCUGCUGCAUGCUGUUGGACAGCAAUUGCAAAGUGCUUCAAAAGCUGAAGUCCUUAUUCAGGGUAUGUACGUCUUCAACAAUGUUGCAUCUGGAAAUGAGGUGCACAAGGAAGCGGUUAUGCAAGAGCUCUUUCCACCGUUAGCUAAUGAAUGUGAAUCAAUUAUGUCCAAGUUUUUACAUAGUGAUGAUAGCCGGUUACGUACAGCAGCAGUUUGGGCUCUAGUAAAUCUUACUUUUCCAAGCAGUUCUGGUGCAUUUGGCCGAGUGAUGAAAUUACGGAAUGCUGGCAUAGUUUCUCUGUUGAAAAAUAUGGUCAAUGAUCCUUGCCUUGAUGUAAAGCUUAGAGCGAGGACGGUUCUGGGGCAAUCAGUUACUUCUGGUGAUGGUUCUACAUGACUCUUAUAUUUUUAUCCUUAAUUCAGUGGUUGGUGAGAGAUUCUGGUGCAGAAUGUUGCUUGUGGACAUCACCAUGUUUUAUAUAAUGCCAUGUCUGCAAUCUUUGGGACCAAGGAGAACAUGUUAUGCACUCAUCAAGGUUUAAGCUUUACUUCCAGCAUUUUUCAAAUUCAAGGCUUUUGCUUUGCUUGGUUUAUGCUUGUGUGGCCUAGCCGGUCAUAUUCAACUGCAUCAUUCUGUACCCCAGCCGCAAUUUUGUAUAUUUUUUGUCCUAGUUAUAAAUAUAUUAUUAUCUGUGAUUGUUGCACCUGUUAUUCUGUAUUCCCCCCCUAUUGGGGGGUGUUAGCAAGGAUAAUUAAUGAGA
rnacentral:misc_RNA from 1 species